rfam:Triticum aestivum genome assembly, contig: Triticum_aestivum_CS42_TGACv1_scaffold_062068_1DL
CAUAUACUCCCUCCGUCCCAAAAUUCUUGUCUUAGAUUCAUCUAGACACGGGUGUAUCUAAUACUAAAACGUGACUUGAUACAUCCGUAUUCAGACAAAUCUAAGACAAGAAUUUUGGGACGGAGGGAGUAUAUC